rfam:Ovis aries breed Texel chromosome 18, whole genome shotgun sequence.
GGUACCUGAAAUAGGUUGCCUGUGAGGUGUUCACUUUUCUAAACGAUGAAUAUUAUACAGUCAACCUCUUUCCGAUAUC